rnacentral:tRNA from 2 species
GGGGGCGUAGCUCAAUUGGGAGAGCAUCUGAUUUGCAUUCAGAAGGUCGCAGGUUCGAUCCCUGUCGCCUCCACCA